rnacentral:rRNA from 1 species
UGGCCCAGAUCGUUUACCGUGAAAAAAUUAGAGUGUUCAAAGCAGGCAGAUCCAAUUUUCUGCCACCGAAUACAUUAGCAUGGGAUAAUGGAAUAGGACCCUGUCCUCCUAUUUUCAGUUGGUUUUGGCAGCGCGAGGACUAGGGUAAUGAUUAAUAGGGAUAGUUGGGGGCAUUAAUAUUUAAUUGUCAGAGGUGAAAUUCUUGGAUUUAUGAAAGAUUAACUUCUGCGAAAGCAUCUGCCAAGGAUGUUUUCAUUAAUCAAGAACGAAAGUUAGGGGAUCGAAGACGAUCAGAUACCGUCGUAGUCUUAACCAUAAACGAUGCCGACCAGCGAUUAGGAGACGUUGAAUACAAAACACCACCAUCGGCGCGGUCGUCCUUGGCGUCUGUCCCUUUCAACGGGGGCAGGCGCGAGGGCGGUUUAGCCCGGUGGCACCGGUGAAUGACUCCCCUAGCAGCUUGUGAGAAA